UGAGCUUGAUCCUGGCUCAGGAUGAACGCUAGCGGCAGGCUUUAACACAUGCAAGUCGAGGGGUAGAAGUCUUCGGACUUUGAGACCGGCGCACGGGUGCGUAACGCGUAUGCAAUCUACCUUUUACAGAGGGAUAGCCCAGAGAAAUUUGGAUUAAUACCUCAUAGUAUAAUGACUCGGCAUCGAGAUAUUAUUAAAGUCACAACGGUAAAAGAUGAGCAUGCGUCCCAUUAGCUAGUUGGUAAGGUAACGGCUUACCAAGGCUCCGAUGGGUAGGGGUCCUGAGAGGGAGAUCCCCCACACUGGUACUGAGACACGGACCAGACUCCUACGGGAGGCAGCAGUGAGGAAUAUUGGACAAUGGGCGCAAGCCUGAUCCAGCCAUGCCGCGUGCAGGAUGACGGUCCUAUGGAUUGUAAACUGCUUUUAUACGAGAAGAAACACU
rnacentral:rRNA from 1 species